GACGAACGCUGGCGGCGCGCCUAACACAUGCAAGUCGAACGAGCGAGAGAGAGCUUGCUUUCUCGAGCGAGUGGCGAACGGGUGAGUAACGCGUGAGGAACCUGCCUCAAAGAGGGGGACAACAGUUGGAAACGACUGCUAAUACCGCAUAAGCCCACGGCUCGGCAUCGAGCAGAGGGAAAAGGAGCAAUCCGCUUUGAGAUGGCCUCGCGUCCGAUUAGCUAGUUGGUGAGGUAACGGCCCACCAAGGCGACGAUCGGUAGCCGGACUGAGAGGUUGAACGGCCACAUUGGGACUGAGACACGGCCCAAACUCCUACGGGAGGCAGCAGUGGGGAAUAUUGCACAAUGGGGGAAACCCUGAUGCAGCGACGCCGCGUGAGUGAAGAGUAUUUCGGUAUGUAAAGCUCUAUCAGCAGGGAAGAAAAUGACGGUACCUGACUAAGAAGCCCCGGCUAACUACGUG
rnacentral:rRNA from 1 species